rnacentral:lncRNA from 1 species
AUGGGUGUGUGUGAGCUAAGUUCUUCCAAAGGCUGUCUCGAAGAAACAUUUAAAAGAAAAGAAAAAGAAAAAAAAAAAAAAAAAAACCAAAAACGGACACCUCUCAUCUGUUUCCACUUGCCUAGAGCAGCUCCCGCGGCGCGCGGACCUCCCCGGGCAGCGCGACUGUGCGCGCGCACGUGUGUGUGGGUCGGGGCGCCGGGCCGAGCGGCCGUGAACGCGGAGGGCAGAGCGCUCGUCCACACUGCCCUUCCAAACGAUCGCCGACCGCUGAACGAGGGCGUUCGGGUCUUGGCGGCUCCGGAAGAAGGUCUCGGAUCACUGGGAUCUCCAUCCCGUCCGCGGCGCGCACCGCCAGCCACCCCUCCGCGCACCCCUGCUCGGCGCUCCCGGCCGGGGACGCGGACGCCGCGGGGACCUGGGCCCGGGGACGCGCGCACGGCUCGCUCAAAGGGGCUGCGGGGCUGGGUUCGCGGGGGGCAGGGAAGAGCCGGAGCGAUAGGGGCACGGGAUGCGGAGAAGAGGCGAAGGAUGCUGAUUCCUGGGCCGCGGCGCGGGAGAAACUUCAGGAAGCGGGUCGGAGGCGGGGCGUCCGCGGAGAGGAUGGGCCGUGUGAGGCCGCUGAACGAAACCUGGAGGGACACGUUAGCGGCCCGCAGACUGCUAGUCCUCCGACCUCAGGGGCUGGGCCGUGGUGCUAGAACCGGGUCGCGGGCUGAGCCCAGAACGUGCAGAAGAGCGCUCUCCGGUCCAGGGACCCCUCCCGCGGCGCUGCCCGCGGGGCCCGAGGCCUUCGGGCAGGUGGAAACCCAGGGGACGCGUCCGUGCUCCGGGUUCCCUGACUGGAGCGGCGGGGACCCUCUGGGCCUCGCCUCCUGCGGUGUUUUUGCAGACACACGUGGCCGCAUCAGAAGACCAUGUCAGAGCCUCGAAAGGCCGAAGUGUCCAGAGACCCGCGAGCGGGCUCGACCCCGCUUGGAAGGUAUUCACGUUUCAUUUGACUUAAACUCUGCACAGUUUACAGCGAAGUGUUCCUGUUUCCCAAAAAAGAAAACGCAGACCCGGACUCGCGGCUCUUCUGGUCAGUUUCUGAUGCCACUCGUUCCGCAGUCCCCCGGGAAGAGCGACACCAGAGGGGACAUGUGCCCUAUACAUGGAAACCACUUCCACUUCACACGGAAAUGCAUGAGGAGGAACCACGUAAAAUGUGUCUUUUAA